rnacentral:tRNA from 1 species
UGUUCUGUGGCUUAAUUCAUUAAAGCGCCGGUCUAGCGAAUGCGGAGUCGAGGGUUCGAAUCCCAUCAGAUCGC